AACAGUAUAGCAAUUACAAUGUUCCAACUGCCUACCAUUCAACAGUAUAGCAAUUACAAUGUUCUUACUGCCUACCAUUCAACAGUAUAGCAAUUACAAUGUUCCAACUGCCUACCAUUCAACAGUAUAGCAAUUACAAUGUUCUUACUGCCUACCGUUCAACAGUAUAGCAAUUACAAUGUUCUUACUGCCUACCAUUCAACAGUAUAGCAAUUACAAUGUUCUUACUGCCUACCAUUCAACAGUAUAGCAAUUACAAUGUUCUUACUGCCUACCAUUCAACAGUAUAGCAAUUACAAUGUUCCAACUGCCUACCAUGCUACAUUAUAACACCUAGAAUGUUCUAACUGCCUACCAUGCUACAUUAUAACACCUAGAAUGUUCUUACUGCAUACCAUGCUACAUUAUAACACCUAGAAUGUUCUUACUGCAUACCAUGCUACAUUAUAACACCUAGAAUGUUCUAACUGCCUACCAUGCUACAUUAUAACACCUAGAAUGUUCUAACUGCCUACCAUGCUACAUUAUAACACCUAGAAUGUUCUAACUGCCUACCAUGCUACAUUAUAACACCUAGAAUGUUCUUACUGCCUACCAUGCUACAUUAUAACACCUAGAAUGUUCUAACUGGCUACCAUGCUACAUUAUAACAGCUAGAAUGUUCUUACUGCAUACCAUGCUACAUUAUAACAACCUAGAAUGUCCUAACUGCCUACCAUGCU
rnacentral:sRNA from 1 species